CCUGCGGAAGGAUCAUUAACGAGUUUUGAAAUGGGUUGUAGCUGGCCUUCCGGGGCAUGUGCACACCCUGCUCAUCCACUCUACACCUGUGCACUUACUGUAGGUUGGCAUGGGUCUCUUCCUGUUGUCUUAAAUGGUGAUUGGGGGAGGCAUUCUGCCAGUCUAUGUAUGUUUAUAACAAACUCCAAUGUUAACAGAAUGUAAACGCGUCUAACGCAUUUUAAUACAACUUUCAGCAACGGAUCUCUUGGCUCUCGCAUCGAUGAAGAACGCAGCGAAAUGCGAUAAGUAAUGUGAAUUGCAGAAUUCAGUGAAUCAUCGAAUCUUUGAACGCACCUUGCGCUCCUUGGUAUUCCGAGGAGCAUGCCUGUUUGAGUGUCAUGAAAUUCUCAACUCAUAAAUCUUUUUGGUCUAUGGGCUUGGAUUUGGAGGUUUGCUGGUCCCCCUGUAUAUGGGUAUUGGCUCCUCUUGAAUGCAUUAGCUUGAUUUCUUGCGGAUCGGCUCUCAGUGUGAUAAUUAUCUAUGCUGUGGCUGUGAAGUGUUUGGCAAGCUUCUAAUCGUCCUCUAAAAGGGACAAAUACACUCUGACAUCUGACCUCAAAUCAGGUAGGACUACCCGCUGAACUUAAGCAUAUC
rnacentral:rRNA from 1 species